UUGGUAAUGUAAUUUUAGAAAACAAAAUUACUAAUAAAAAAUCCAAAAGAGGACAUGAUAUUCUAUGUUUUAAUGAUUUGGAAUAUACAUUGCAUAGAGUAAUUAAUUCCAAAUCAUAUUACCGAUGUAGAAGAAGAAGUUGUUCUGGACGGGGUAUUUUUCAAUCAGUAAGUUCACAGAAACUCAGGAUCAUACCUUAGAACAAUGUAAAUCCCCUAUUGUCAAUAACCUUCUACUUAUGUCUGAUAGUCAACCAAUAACUCAAUUCCAAUUAUCUCAACAAAUUAUACAACCUUCAUUAUCAAACUAUCAGCUUACUCAAUCUCAAAUUCUAGCAAUGCCCAACAUGCAGUCUGCUAAUACCAUAUCAAGUUUCACAAAAUAAAAUUUUUAUAAUCAAUUUUUUU